rnacentral:rRNA from 1 species
GACGAACGCUGGCGGCGUGCUUAACACAUGCAAGUCGAACGGAAAGGCCCUGCUUUUGUGGGGUGCUCGAGUGGCGAACGGGUGAGUAACACGUGAGUAACCUGCCCUUGACUUUGGGAUAACUUCAGGAAACUGGGGCUAAUACCGGAUAGGAGCUCCUGCUGCAUGGUGGGGGUUGGAAAGUUUCGGCGGUUGGGGAUGGACUCGCGGCUUAUCAGCUUGUUGGUGGGGUAGUGGCUUACCAAGGCUUUGACGGGUAGCCGGCCUGAGAGGGUGACCGGCCAAAUUGGGACUGAGAUACGGCCCAGACUCCUACGGGAGGCAGCAGUGGGGAAUAUUGCACAAUGGGCGGAAGCCUGAUGCAGCAACGCCGCGUGCGGGAUGACGGCCUUCGGGUUGUAAACCGCUUUCGCCUGUGACGAAGCGUGAGUGACGGGAAUGGGUAAAGAAGCACCGGCUAAAUACGUG